rnacentral:rRNA from 1 species
AACGAACGCUGACGGCGUGCCUAACACAUGCAAGUCGAACGAGAAAAUUCUGGCUUGCCAGAAUGAGUAAAGUGGCGCACGGGUGAGUAACGCGUGGGUAAUCUGCCUUUAAGUUAGGGAUAACACUGCGAAAGCGGUGCUAAUACCUGAUAAGCUCACAGUUUUAAUUAAGCAGUGGGAAAAGGUGGCCUCUGACAUAAGCUAUCGCUUGAAGAUGAGCCCGCGUACCAUUAGCUAGUUGGUAGGGUAAUGGCCUACCAAAGCGACGAUGGUUAGCUGGCCUGAGAGGGCGGCCAGCCACACUGGAACUGAGAUACGGUCCAGACUCCUACGGGAGGCUG